rnacentral:misc_RNA from 1 species
GAAAUGCGAUAAGUAAUGUGAAUUGCAGAAUUCAGUGAAUCAUCGAAUCUUUGAACGCACCUUGCGCUCCUUGGUAUUCCUUGGGGCAUGCCUGUUCGAGCGUCAUUUGUACCCUCAAGCUCUGCUUGGUGUUGGGUGUUUGUCCCCGUCUCCGCGCGUGGACUCGCCCCAAAGUGAUUGGCAGCCGGCGUACUGGUCCCGGAGCGCAGCACAUGUCGCGCAAACGAGUGCCUUGGUACGGCGGCGUCCAUAAGCCCCUCUCUCACGCUCUUGACCUCGGAUCAGGUAGGGAUACCCGCUGAACUUAAGC